rnacentral:rRNA from 1 species
AUAUGCUUGUCCCAAAGCUUAAGCCAUGCAUGUCUAAGAACAAGCGAUCUCGUGAAUCUGCGAACGGCUCCGUAUAUCUGUGGCAACCCGCCUGAAACAGCACCGGGAUGUUCCUACCCCGGGCAGCGGAUACCCAUGGUAAUUCUGUGGCUAAUACGUGUAAGCACAGUGUGAGGGCUACCGAAGGGUAGCCUGUGGCCUUGCAUGCCCACAAGGCGCGGGCUCCGGCCCCCUAGUCUGAAGUCAGCAAGUGCCCUACCGGCCACUUUCUUGGCCGGAAUACCAGACGGGCUUCAGACCUAUCAGCCAUCCGUGGGGGAGAGCCCCUUGGCGGCAACAACGGGUACAGAGGAUCAGGGUUCGAUCCUGGAGAGGUAGCCUGAGAGAUCGCUACUACUUCUAAGGAAGGCAGCAGGCGCGCAACGUUCCCAAUGGGGAUACCCUGAGGACGUGACGGGACAUAUCAAUGCCUCGCCCAUAAAGCGGGGCAAUUGAAAUGGGGGCUAUCCAAACCCUCCACCGAGUAACAAUUGGAGGACAAGUCUGGUGCCAGCACCCGCGGUAAUUCCAGCUCCAAUAGCAUCUAGUUAAGUUGCUGCAGUUAAAACGCUCGUAGUUCAAGCUGGUGCGCACGCCGCCCGCCUAGUAGCGCCCGGCCCGGGGCCACCCCUCUUCUGGGUUCGGGCCCUCCCCGGGUGUCAACGGCGGGAGCGCAGGCGUGCCACCACAGUGGUCGGAGCUACGCCGGCUGCGGUCCUUCGGUGGUCCGCUACCGGUCUCCGGCACUUUCCUUUGAGUAAAUGUGAGCGCUCAAAGCGGGCCACUUAGGCCCUUGCAACCUGCAGCAAAGAAUAAUAUGAUGGGCUCCCUCGGAUACGCCUUGCGAGGGGGAGCUAAUUGGUCGAUGGGCAGGAUCGGGGUGGGCCACAUGGCGGGGGUAGGGGUGAAAUCCGUUGAUCCUCGCCAGGUGAUCUAACGCGAAGGCAGCCCACAAGUACCUGUUUUUCGAUCAAGAACGAAAGUCUGGGGAUCGAAGAUGAUUAGAUACCAUCGUAGUCCAGACCCUAAACGAUGCCGGCUAUGGAUGGGCCCUCGUCCAUCCCGACCCAGCCCGAACCUCGUGGGAAACCAUAAGCGUUUGGGCUCCGGGGGGAGUAUGGUCGCAAGACUGAAACUUAAAGGAAUUGACGGAAGAGCACACAAGGAGUGGAGCCUGCGGCUUAAUUUGACUCAACACGGGGAAACUCACUAGGGCAGGAGGGGGGUAGGAUGGACAGCCGAUCAGGGCUUUCCUGAUUCCUCCAGUGGUGGUGCAUGGUCGUUCUUAGUUCGUGGAUUGAUUUGUCUGGUCUAUUCCGCUAACGAGCGAGAACCCACCCGUCGAGGUUGGGCACCCGGGCAUGCCGGGGGGGGGAAGUCUACGGGUGUGGCUCGCAAGGGCCAUGUCCGCGGGCGCCCGCUCCUGGCUGCGAACACCCGGGGGCUCGCCCCGGAGGGACUGGUACCGCUAAGGUGCCGGCAGCGGGUCAAUAACAGGUCAGUGAUGCCCUUAGAUGCUUUAGGCCGCACGCGCGCUACAAUGGGGCGAAUACCGGGCUCCCUGUGCCGGAGGGCGGUGGGGAAUCCGGGAAAGCGCCCCGUAUCCGGGACAGCGCCGUGUAACUCGGCGCUCGAACAAGGAAUUUCUAGUAGUCA